rnacentral:rRNA from 1 species
GAAUUCGGCAAAAAUAAUGUUCGCCUGUUUAACAAAAACAUGUCUUUUUGAAUUUAAUUUAAAGUCUAACCUGCCCACUGAAAUUUUAAAUGGCCGCAGUAUUUUGACUGUGCAAAGGUAGCAUAAUCAUUAGUCUUUUAAUUGAAGGCUGGAAUGAAUGGUUGGACGAAAUAUUAACUGUUUCAUUUAAAUUUUUUAUAGAAUUUUAUUUUUUAGUCAAAAAGCUAAAAUAAUUUUAAAAGACGAGAAGACCCUAUAAAUCUUUAUAUUUUUUUUUAUUUUAAUUGUUAAGAUUAAUUUUAUUUUAAUAAAUAAAAAUAUUUUAUUGGGGCGAUAUUAAAAUUUAAAAAACUUUUAAUUUUUAAAAACAUUAAUUUAUGAAUAAUUGAUCCAUUAAUAAUGAUUAAAAAAUUAAGUUACUUUAGGAAUAACAGCGUAAUUUUUUUGGAGAGUUCAUAUCGAUAAAAAAGAUUGCGACCUCGAUGUUGGAUUAAGAUAUAAUUUUGGGUGUAGCCGUUCAAAUUUUAAGUCUGUUCGACUUUUAAAUUCUUACAUGAUCUGAGUUCAAACCGGUCUAAGCCAGGUUGGUUUCUAUCUUUAAAAAAUUAUAAUAUUUUAGUACGAAAGGACCAAAUAUUAGAAUAAUCAUAUUUUAAAAAAGAAUAUUAUUAAUAUAA